GAUUCUGCUCUCAUUUACAUCUGUUCAAAUUAAUAAUAGCCCCACGGAACUACACUGGUGUAACACCAGUGACGAAUUAUCAGAAGAAACUAUCAGGCCCAUAAAGCUUUGGCAAAAGCACAUUCAAAAGCACAUAGCAUUGGCCUGACUCCACUCCACUGGAAUUAACAGUACCAUUCUCACUGAUUCAAUGGGAGCAGAAUUAUGACUACACUGAGUGCUUUUGAAAAUCCUAUGCUAAAGUGCUAACAAAUUACAGUCCAUGCAUGUGUUGUUCACAGUUGGUCAUAUGCCAGAUUACUCCCCUUUCUCAGCCCAUAUAUCAUCUUCCUAAUGCUUCCCCCGAGAAAACUGCAGAGCUGGCCAUUUUGUUUCCACUGAUCUCCCAGUUUAGUUUCUAGCCUUGUUCAAACUGUGUUUUCUUUUAUUGUCCAGACUAAUGAUAUUGUAUUUUUUUGUAAUUUUUAAACACUUUUAGAUACAUUUUAAUAAAAGUCAUAUGCUGACUCAUUGGGGAGACACUGCUAGAGCUUCCCCACAUAGUUGUCCUGUGAGGAGACCUCUUUUCCUGCUCUAACCUUCUCUUUUAUUUCUGUGUGUCUCCUGAGCAAAGACCUUCAACGGAUGUUUGAUGGUGGUGCUGGAUCUGGACAAAUAUCUACAAGCCACAUAUCCAGACAUGGAAAGCCUAGUGCUUUACCAACCUGGUCCCUGAUCCAACAGAAAUAAUGAACACGUUUUCAUUCAUUCAGAAGGCAGGAAACCUUUAAGGAACGGAUUUUGCUAAAAAAGAUAGAGCCCAUGGUUAUGCUUCUACCUUCAGUUACGUUGCUGUAUGAUCAUUGUGUAUGCACUACAGCACUAGAUCAAAACCAACUUAUCAUAAAUGUCUUGAGAGAAAUAAGAUGCAGACAUCAAGGCUGUACUGCUGAAGAUGGCACCUGGAAACACAGCAGAUCUGGAUGAAGGCACAGUGGAAACGAUCAAAUCCUUGAAAGAGGUUGGAGUACACUGGUUUAUGUGGGUGCAGACAUUGGAAAGAGAAGAAAUCCCAAGACAAUGGAGAAAGUCCAUGCUAGUACUGCUAUACAAACAAAAAGGUGACACGCAUCACUGUUCGAAGUACCGAGGAAUUAAGAUGCUGUUUCACAACAUGAGACUAGAGAGAAUCAUAAAUAGUUGCAUUCACUGAACAGUGAAGGCCAUUUUAGGAAAAGAGCAGCUUGGUUUUAGAAAAGCAAAAAAUAUAGCAGAUGGUAUGUUCAUUGCUUGACAGUUGGUGGAAAAGAAGCUGAAGGGAAACAUCAAGAAUGGUUGGGCUUUCCUUGAUUUGGAGAAAGCAUUUGACAGGAGUGAGACCAAGGUCUGCAAUAUCAGAGAGCAGUGAGAGGAGGCUGAGAUGAUAUGGCCAUCUACAAAGGAUAGAUGAAGGGAAUCCUGUUCAGGAGGCAUUUGAGACUAGAGUUUGCAGGCAGAGACAAGAGAAUGGCCAAGAAAACAGCAGAUUGACUAUGUAUGGGAAGGCAGAAUACAUACAGAGCGAACAUUAGACUGGCAAGCCUGGAAAAUAUUGAUCCAGAGACCUGACUCUAGCUAACUGGGAAAAGGGAAAGAAGUGGCGUGUACUUUUCACUUCAUACUCUCCAUUAAUCUUAAUCACACUUUUAUAAUGAAUGGAGACUAUACUUUGGCAUUGCCUGUUUACAAAUAAAUUUUACAUUUGGGGCCAAAUUUUCAACGAGGAACCUAUAAUUAUACCUGCAAAAUUUGUACAUGCAAGUAAGAUGAAGGGGAAAAAAGCAUCCCUGUUGCACAUGCACUCUCAUGAUUUCCCUCUACAAACCUAGGUUUUUAUGCUGACAAGUUUUUCUUGAAUCAUGAAAGCCAAUUGAAAAUUUGUCUUAUAUUGUACGGAGGACGCCAUCUUCAAAAGCAUCGAUACUAAAGUUGUUCAGCACAGGAAUUGAUAGUACAAACCACCCACACAUUUUUUAAAUUAAAAUGUUAAGACUUAUGAGAUAUAACAAAGAGUCUAU